GUCUCCAUAGCCCGAUUGGUCAGUGUGUCUGACUGUUAACCAGAAGGUUGGUGGUUCGAGCCCACCCACGGACA